UACAGAGGUCUCAAGCGUUGUUCGGAUUCAUUGGGCGUAAAGGGUGCGUAGGCGGCGCGGUAAGUCGGGUGUGAAAUCUUGGGACUUAACUCCGAAACUGCAUUCGAUACUGCCGUGCUUGAGGACUGGAGAGGAGACUGGAAUUUACGGUGUAGCGGUGAAAUGCGUAGAUAUCGUAAGGAAGACCAGUGGCGAAGGCGGGUCUCUGGACAGUUCCUGACGCUGAGGCACGAAGGCCAGGGGAGCAAACGGG
rnacentral:rRNA from 1 species